rnacentral:sRNA from 1 species
AUGGAGCCGGUGCCGCUGCAGGACUUCGUGCGCGCCUUGGACCCCGCCUCCCUCCCGCGCGUGCUGCGGGCUCCAUCUAUGAGAUCUCUGGGAAUGAGUGCUGCCUCUCCACGGGGGACCUGAUCAAGGUCACCCAGGUCCGCCUCCAGAAGGUGGUCUGUGAGAACCCGAAGACCAGCCAGACCAUGGAGCUCGCCCCCAACUUCCAGGGCUAUUUCACCCCGCUCAACACCCCACAGAGCUACGAAACCCUAGAGGAGCUGGUCUCUGCCACAACUCAGAGCUCCAAGAAGCUGCCCACUUGCUUCAUGUCGACCCACAGGAUUGUCACAGAGGGCAGGGUGGUGACUGAGGACCAGCUCCUCAUGCUUGAGGCUGUGGUGAUGCACCUUGGGAUCCGCUGUGCCCGCUGUGUCCUGGGCACGGAGGGUCAGCAGGUCAUCCUGCACCUGCCCCUAUCCCAGAAGGGGCCCUUCUGGAAAUGGGAGCCUAGUGCCCCUCGAACUCUGCUCCAGGUCCUACAGGAUCCAGCCCUGAAAGACCUUGUCCUCACCUGCCCCACCCUGCCCUGGCAUUCCCUGAUCCUGCGGCCCCAGUAUGAGAUCCAAGCCAUCAUGCACACGGCUGAGUGACCAGGCUGGGGAGGAUGAGGAAGAGUGUGAAGAGGAGGCAGAGAGCCCAGAGCGGGUCCUGCUGCCCUUCCACUUCCC